rnacentral:rRNA from 1 species
AGUGAACGCUGGCGGUAGACCUAACACAUGCAAGUCGAACGGCAGCACAGUAAGAGCUUGCUCUUACGGGUGGCGAGUGGCGGACGGGUGAGGAAUACAUCGGAAUCUACUUUUUCGUGGGGGAUAACGUAGGGAAACUUACGCUAAUACCGCAUACGACCUACGGGUGAAAGCAGGGGAUCCUCGGACCUUGCGCGAUUGAAUGAGCCGAUGUCGGAUUAGCUAGUUGGCGGGGUAAAGGCCCACCAAGGCGACGAUCCGUAGCUGGUCUGAGAGGAUGAUCAGCCACACUGGAACUGAGACACGGUCCAGACUCCUACGGGAGGCAGCAGUGGGGAAUAUUGGACAAUGGGCGCAAGCCUGAUCCAGCCAUACCGCGUGGGUGAAGAAGGCCUUCGGGUUGUAAAGCCCUUUUGUUGGGAAAGAAAAGCAGCAGGUUAAUACCCCGCUGUUCUGACGGUACCCAAAGAAUAAGCACCGGCUAACUUCGUG